AGCGAGUUGGUGAAAAUCCUGCCUGGCUGGAUCAAGGUUAAGAGGGAGAGAAUGUACUGCUCAGGCCGACGUGAGGAUCCAAUCCACUCACCGGUUACAUGCCACGAUGUAAAUUAAUAAAUUCGCAUUCUGAUUUUAUCAUCUGCCUCAUCUGAGGUCUGUAGGCGUGAGUCAGCAUCCCCUAGUUUAAUCAACAUGGACACUGAGACUAUCAAGCUUUUGAGCUGAAAAGCUAAGAAUUAGACCCAGGACCAGAGUGAAAUCACCAAGAUGAGGAAAUCCAAGCUCAGAAUGGAUAAUUCACCUAAGGAAAUACAGAUGGAAAAUGGCAGAGCUGCAAUCUAAACCCAGGUCCAUCUGAUAAUAAAGCCCAGGCUCUCCUCAACCAACUUCAGAUCUGGGAUGCUUCCAGUGAGACUCCGUGCUCCCUCCCUGUGUGGUUCCCAUGGCCUUUCUUUACCUCAAGAAAAUGCAGAGUGAAAAGCAAUGGUAGCAGAAGUUUCUAGAAGUUACUUAUAUGGCAAGUGCAAGUAUUUCAGAACACAUUUGAGAUUCAGGAAGGAGGCAAAAAGGCUUCUGCUGAGCAGUCAAAAUGACGAAGUUUGUAAACUUCACUUUAUUUGGGUCCCUGCUGAAAGUCUACCUACUCUUUAAAAACAAUAACAACAACAAAAAAUGGGAACACACUAUUAACGCUGUUCUGCACAUGUAUUUUUCAAUUAACAAUUGGUGAGUAUUCCCUUUUAGCGCACAUAGAUCUACCUCAUUCAUUUAAGGGCUCUGUAGUGCUGCAUUGUGUGAAUGCACCAAAUGUGUAUUUAUCCUGCAUUCUCUAGGUGGACAUUUUAGACACUUACAAGGGUUGGGGCUCAGAAAGUGAUAUCCCAAAGGCUGAUGUUUUGACAUGCUGAGGGCCCUCAGAAGCCGCCCCCGAACCAAGGUCCCUCUAACUUCUUGUUCCCCAUACCUGCCCCACCACCAAACACAGGGAGGGACUGUCUGUCUUUGGAAAUUUCCUCAUCUGACCAAGAAAGCAUCUUUCCAAAAGAAAUGCAAUUGUCUUAAACACCCUCCCUAGAGGUCUCAUCAAAUAACCAAGAAAGAUAAACCACCAGAAGAGAUGAGACUGGGAAUCAUCACCACACCCAGACAGACUUCAUCUAUUCUUCUGAGAGCAGCUCCAAGAGAUUGCCUGGAGGACUUUAUCUGCUUAAUAAGACAAGCUUUGUUCCUGUACAGCUCCGCCCCUCACCUUCCUGUAAUAUCUGCCUCCCACCUCCCCAGUCCAUACAUCUCCUCCCUCCUGUAUGAAAAAGGGUAUACAAGCUUCUGUGCCCCAUUGGGUUAUUGGGAAAUCAUUCUCCUGUGAUUCCCCUGUGCCAUGCACACUAAAAUAAAAUUUUGUAUG
rnacentral:lncRNA from 10 species